UGUCAUGCCAACCCUUUGUUGCCGUCACGCCACGAUAAGUCCGACGCCCCUAUCCACGCUGUCAACCUUGACCUCACCGACCGCGCCACUGUGACCAAUUGAAAAGGAAAUUUCACGUUGUCAAGCCAAUUGCAUGCUACACUCCCCUUGCCCUCAAACUUGAGAUUUGUCACCAUGGACAAUAGGUCCAUAGAGGAUGCAAAUGUAUUUCUAGAGAAUGAUUUUCAAAAUCCUCUCCAGAUGCGCAUUUUACUGAUUUACUUUAAUUUUUUGGUUGGUUGAUUAAUAAAUUCAUAAUAUUUUUCUCUGCCAAUGAUGAUGCGGCACAUGAAGAUAAUAGAUUUUGUCUUAGUUUUACCAUAAGAAAAUAAGUCUUUUUGUUUCUUGCUAUAUGUAUCUUGCUUUAGAUCAAGUGGAGGAUUAGUAAACAUGCAUUAUUGAACUCUGUAAUUAAAUUUUAAAUGUUUGAGAAGAAUUACUGAACUGCUGUUAUUUUUUUCCUGAUAAAUAUGUUCUCUCUUUUCAGGUUACCAGAUAACUUGUAUGCACUUUUUAAUGAGAUUACAUAACUUACCAAAAAAACAAAUCUUUCCUGAAUCUCCCAAGCUUUGCAAAUUUUUCUUGUGAAUGA